GAUGAACGCUGGCGGCGUGCUUAACACAUGCAAGUCGAACGAAACACCUUAUUUGAUUUUCUUCGGAACUGAAGAUUUGGUGAUUGAGUGGCGGACGGGUGAGUAACGCGUGGGUAACCUGCCCUGUACAGGGGGAUAACAGUCAGAAAUGACUGCUAAUACCGCAUAAGACCACAGCACCGCAUGGUGUAGGGGUAAAAACUCCGGUGGUACAGGAUGGACCCGCGUCUGAUUAGCUGGUUGGUGAGGUAACGGCUCACCAAGGCGACGAUCAGUAGCCGGCUUGAGAGAGUGAACGGCCACAUUGGGACUGAGACACGGCCCAAACUCCUACGGGAGGCAGCAGUGGGGAAUAUUGCACAAUGGGGGAAACCCUGAUGCAGCGACGCCGCGUGAGUGAAGAAGUAUCUCGGUAUGUAAAGCUCUAUCAGCAGGGAAGAAAA
rnacentral:rRNA from 1 species